rnacentral:rRNA from 1 species
GUGAGGAAUAUUGGUCAAUGGGCGAGAGCCUGAACCAGCCAAGUCGCGUGAAGGAAGAAGGAUCUAUGGUUCGUAAACUUCUUUUGCAGGGGAAUAAAGUGCGGGACGUGUCCUGUUUUGUAUGUACCCUGAGAAUAAGGAUCGGCUAACUCCGUGCCAGCAGCCGCGGUAAUACGGAGGAUCCGAGCGUUAUCCGGAUUUAUUGGGUUUAAAGGGUGCGUAGGUGGUUUGAUAAGUCAGCGGUGAAAGUUUGCAGCUUAACUGUAAAAAUGCCGUUGAAACUGUCGGGCUUGAGUGUAAAUGAGGUAGGCGGAAUGCGGGGUGUAGCGGUGAAAUGGAUAGAUAUCACGCAGAACUCCGAUUGCGAAGGCAGCUUACUAAGCUAAAACUGACACUGAAGCACGAAAGCGUGGGGAUCAAACAGGAUUAGAAACCCUAGUAGUCC